rnacentral:rRNA from 1 species
CCUACGGGAGGCAGCAGUGGGGAAUAUUGCACAAUGGGGGAAACCCUGAUGCAGCAACGCCGCGUGAGUGAGGAAGUAUUUCGGUAUGUAAAGCUCUAUCAGCAGGGAAGAAAAUGACGGUACCUGAGUAAGAAGCCCCGGCUAACUACGUGCCAGCAGCCGCGGUAAUACGUAGGGGGCAAGCGUUAUCCGGAUUUACUGGUGGUAAAGGGAGCGUAGACGGCAGUGCAAGUCUGGAGUGAAAGGCGGGGGCUCAACCCCCGGACUGCUCUGGAAACUGUACGGCUGGAGUGCAGGAGAGGUAAGUGGAAUUCCUAGUGUAGCGGUGAAAUGCGUAGAUAUUAGGAGGAACACCAGUGGCGAAGGCGGCUUACUGGACUGUAACUGACGUUGAGGCUCGAAAGCGUGGGGAGCAAACAGGAUUAGAUACCCCUGUAGUC